rnacentral:rRNA from 1 species
UACAGAGGUCUCAAGCGUUGUUCGGAUUCAUUGGGCGUAAAGGGUGCGUAGGCGGCGCGGUAAGUCGGGUGUGAAAUCUCGGGGCUUAACUCCGAAACUGCAUUCGAUACUGCCGUGCUUGAGGACUGGAGAGGAGACUGGAAUUUACGGUGUAGCGGUGAAAUGCGUAGAUAUCGUAAGGAAGACCAGUGGCGAAGGCGGCUUCCUGGUCCAGCACCGACGUUCAGGCACGAAAGCGUGGGGAGCAAACAGG